GCAAGUCGAACGGUGAAGCAGGAGCUUGCUCCUGUGGAUCAGUGGCGAACGGGUGAGUAACACGUGAGCAAUCUGCCCUGGACUCUGGGAUAAGCGUUGGAAACGACGUCUAAUACCGGAUACGAGACGCGAAGGCAUCUUCAGCGUCUGGAAAGAACUUCGGUCCAGGAUGAGCUCGCGGCCUAUCAGGUAGUUGGUGAGGUAAUGGCUCACCAAGCCUACGACGGGUAGCCGGCCUGAGAGGGUGACCGGCCACACUGGGACUGAGACACGGCCCAGACUCCUACGGGAGGCAGCAGUGGGGAAUAUUGCACAAUGGGCGCAAGCCUGAUGCAGCAACGCCGCGUGAGGGACGACGGCCUUCGGGUUGUAAACCUCUUUCAGCAGGGAAGAAGCGAAAGUGACGGUACCUGCAGAAAAAGCACCGGCUAACUACGUGCCAGCAGCCGCGGUAAUACGUAGGGUGCAAGCGUUAUCCGGAAUUAUUGGGCGUAAAGAGCUCGUAGGCGGUUUGUCGCGUCUGCUGUGAAAACCCGAGGCUCAACCUCGGGCCUGCAGUGGGUACGGGCAGACUAGAGUGCGGUAGGGGAGAUUGGAAUUCCUGGUGUAGCGGCGGAAUGCGCAGAUAUCAGGAGGAACACCGAUGGCGAAGGCAGAUCUCUGGGCCGUAACUGACGCUGAGGAGCGAAAGCAUGGGGAGCGAACAGGAUUAGAUACCCUGGUAGUCCAUGCCGUAAACG
rnacentral:rRNA from 1 species